GAUAAAGAGAAAAGGUAAACAAUGCAUGUGCUUUGCGUGGAAAGACACUAAAUAAAAAGAGACAAGCACUUGCAGUAAUAACAAUACAGCUACAGGGAAGACUAGAAGCAUCGGCCAGCAUAGCAAAACACAAUGCUUGUAAAGACAUUGCGUUGCAUACCGGCCGACCCCGUCGUCCCCCCUGGUCGUCGAAAUUGGCGUCAUCCAGAGUCGUCAGAGGUAGCUGCAAUUAGCACCUCGUCGUCGUUGUGGCUGUGGCUGCCCUCUUGGAGAACCAGUGGCACUGGUCCGGCCACCAGCUGGGAGCCAGGAGUAGACGGCACAUAUAUUACUGUGGCGACACGGGUCCGGCCGCCAAAGUGAAAUGGAUGACCAUAGGGCACUCUGAAUGCCAUGGCACUGGAUCCGGCCACCAGCUAAGGACGAUGGCGAUGGCAUAACUCGAACGGCACAGGUCCGGCCGCCCAAGUGCAAUGGAUGUUUGUGUGUGUGUGUGUAUUUCCAUUCCAGGUACACAUGGCACUCUGAAUGCCACGGCACCUGGUUCCAGCAACCAGAUGAGGGCAAUGGCGGAGAACGACACACCUACUCGAUCGGCACAGUGGCAGAGAUGUGUCCAAUCAGUACACAGCGUUCCAGGAUAUCUGGUUGUCAAGAUGGUACCUCAUGUUGCGGGCGUAGGCCUUAAUGUCAUCCAUGGAGUCGUCAUCUGUCCACAUCUCAUCGUCAUCGUUUUCUUCAUCCG
rnacentral:misc_RNA from 1 species